rnacentral:rRNA from 1 species
UGGGGGAAUAUUGCACAAUGGGCGCAAGCCUGAUGCAGCAACGCCGCGUGAGGGAUGACGGCCUUCGGGUUGNAAACCUCUUUUAGUAGGGAAGAAGCGAAAGUGACGGUACCUGCAGAAAAAGCACCGGCUAACUACGUGCCAGCAGCCGCGGUAAUACGUAGGGUGCGAGCGUUGUCCGGAAUUAUUGGGCGUAAAGAGCUCGUAGGCGGUCUGUCGCGUCUGCUGUGAAAACCCGAGGCUCAACCUCGGGCCUGCAGUGGGUACGGGCAGACUAGAGUGCGGUAGGGGAGAAUGGAAUUCCUGGUGUAGCGGUGGAAUGCGCAGAUAUCAGGGGGGAACACCGAUGGCGAAGGCAGUUCUCUGGGCCGUAACUGACGCUGAGGAGCGAAAGCGUGGGGAGCGAACAGGAUUAGAUACCCUGGUAGUCCACGCCGUAAACGUUGGGCGCUAGAUGUGGGGACCAUUCCACGGUUUCCGUGUCGCAGCUAACGCAUUAAGCGCCCCGCCUGGGGAGUACGGCCGCAAGGCUAAAAC